rnacentral:rRNA from 1 species
GAUGAACGCUGGCGGCAUGCCUAAUACAUGCAAGUCGAACGAACAGACGAGGAGCUUGCUCCUCUGACGUUAUCGGCCGACGGGUGCGUAACACGUGGAUAACCUACCUAUCAGACUGGGAUAACUUCGGGGAACCGUAGCUAAUACCGGAUAAUAUAUUGCACCGCAUGGUUCAAUCGUGAAAGACGAUUUUGCUGUCGCUUAUAGAUGGGUCCGCGCUGCAUUAGCUAGUUGGUAAGGUAAAGGCCUACCAAGGCAACGAUCCAUAGCCGGCCUGAGAGGAUGAUCAGCCAGACUGGGACUGAGACACGGCCCAGACUCCUACGGGAGGCAGCAGUGGGGAAUAUUGGACAAUGGGCGAAAGCCUGAUCCAGCAAUGCCGCGUGAGUGAUGAAGGCCUUAGGGUUGUAAAGCUCUUUUACCCGGGAUGAUAAUGACAGUACCGGGAGAAUAAGCGCCGGCUAACUCCGUG